CAUGCUUGUUCAGGCUCUCAAAAUAUGAGCUCGAGUAUGAGACACACCUGUGAAAGUUCAGCAGAAAUGCAAGGCAAAUGUAUGGAAGGAGAUGGACAGCACAAGGGAAAGCAUUCUCGCCAAAGGCAUUGUGAUCAAGUAACUCACCUUUGUACCUCUAACCAUUCUACUGAGAUAAAAGAAGGAACCAACAAUGGUCAUUGCCAUUCCAACCACUGUGAAGAUUAUGUAGAAAACACUAUUGAAUCACACUUCAAUCAUGGGCCUCACAGUCUCAAUCGUGUUAUUACGAAUUGUUGCCACAGCCACAGCAGCCUUCCUUGCUCUACCAUUGAUAUUCAUUCUUAUAUGAGCUUGGAUAAGAGAGAAAUUGGG
rnacentral:misc_RNA from 1 species